GCAGCUGUAGCCGAGUGGUUAAGGCGAUGGAAUUGAAAUCCUUUGGGGUCUCCCCGCGUAGGUUCGAAUCCUGCCGGCUGCG